AACACCUUGUAAUUUUCAUUAGGCAACCAUCCCUGAUCAUUUUCCAGGCAAGAAGAGCAGUAUUCCGAGAAUCAUCCAACCCUGGGGAAACAGAUAUCAAAUGCUGGAUUAAGUGGUACCAGUGUAAAGAAAUAAUAGCAAAAAAAAAAAAAAAAUACCACUGAAGGAAAAGAGACAUAGUGCACAACUCAUGUUUACCUGACCAGGUAACAAAUGCACAUAAUUUUACUUCAGAAGUAGAAGGAUCUGAAACCCCAGGAGUAAAAACAAUUUUCUUCUCUUGCUGAAUUUUAUGAAUCCAUUUACAGAACUGAGACAAGCAAAUCUUCAGAGGGACUCCUUCAUCUAUUUGAGCCUGAUUAGAGAGUCACAAAAUGUGAAUUGAAUAAUCAAAUUCCAUUAUUAUCAAGCAUAUAUUGUAACUAUACAUUGUUAGAAGAUUAACAAAGAAGUCUUAACUAGGAAAAACUUUAAAGAUGUUACGAUACAUGGGAGAGAAAUAUGACUGGAACUCAACAAGGUAAGAAAAACUAGGUUCACAAAUCUCAAAUCACACAAAUAUGAUCCUAUAGAUCAAUGAUGGUGAACCUAUGGCACAUGUGCCGCAGCAGGCUGUUUGUUAUCAUUGAAGGUUCACCAUUACUGGUAUAGACUAACAGAAAUAAAAGAUAAAUUUAAAUCAUUUUAUUUCCAUAACAUAAAUUUGAUCUUUUUUUUCCUGCAACACUGGAGGACCAAACCCAGGGCUUCAAACAUGCUAGGCAAGCACUGCAGCACUGAGCUAAACACCCCAGGCCUGGUCUUCAUGUUUGUAACACUACUCUUUCUGAUUUUUAAAACUUCCCAUGGAUUUCUGGAGAGGAAUAUUUUUCUCCUAACACUAAAUAAGUCUAAUUCCAAAUGUACAUAAGUUUUAUUUUCAUUUUGAAACUUAUUACUGAAUUUGUGAUCAUACCUGCUUUAUGCCCGUCAGUUCCAUGCAAAAUUCAGAAAGAACUGGAUGUUCUUGAGGUUGAACGUAAGCAUGGAAUUCAGAUUCAAUCUCUCCAGUUGAUGUAUUCAGCAGUACUGCUGGAAAUUCAACUAAAUGAAAGAAUAAAAUAACACUUGAACAAACAAUUUCUAAAUUAAUGCUGUAGCCACUCUACAUUAAAUACACACUACUGUCAUAAUAGCAUCAUUGAACAGUUUCAGAUGUACAUGUACCAACACCCCAUGAUGUAUUGUGUAUCACAAACAUGUACUAAAAAAAAAUUUCAGUAAAAACAUUAUGACCAAGGCAAUGUGACAUAAAGUUACAAUAAAGUUAUGCCAAAGAAUAAA